rnacentral:lncRNA from 1 species
GUUGCUCGGCUCCAUGGAGGCGGCGGCGGCCGGCAAGGGCGCAUGGGGACCCGAGGUGGACCGGCUAUGGUAGUAGCCAGCGGCGUUGGGUGGUCGUUAGUGUCCAGAUUCUCAGGCGAAAGCCAUGACCGGUCUUGACCGGUGCCGGCGGCGAUGGUGCCAUGAUGCAUCCUUCUCCUUGACGAAGGCGUUGCGGCGAGAAUAUCGACCUCCAGGAACAUUUUUCCAGUAAAAACCAAAGGACCCGACUCGCAUGGUCAGGCGGCGGUGAUGUCUUGGCGUUGCUUUGCUUCCCUCUUAAGGUUUCCAAGUACUUGGAUGGCGGUACCGUAUCAAAUGGUGGUGCACGGGUUGUUUCUGUACACUUGUUUAGGUUGCUAGAGUGUGCCAAGCAAGAUGAUCCUAUAGAUGUGAGGGAUAGUUGCUGGCUUGCUGCACAAGACCCAAUGCAAAGGUGAAGUAGGAGCAUAGGGUGUUUGAUACGAGGUGCUAAACUUUAACAGUGUCACAUCAGAUGUUCAGAUACUAAUUAGGAGGACUAAACAUGAGCUAAUUAUAAAACUAAUUGCAGAACCCUGUGCUAAUUCGUGAGAUGAAUCUAUUAAGUCUAAUUAAUCCAUCAUUAGCAAAUGGUUACUGUAGCACCACAUUGUCAAAUCAUGGACUAAUUAGGCUUAAUAGAUUCGUCUCGCGAAUUAUACUCCAUUUAUGCAAUUAGUUUUGUAAUUAGCCUAUGUUUAAUACUCCUAAUUAGUAUCAAACAUCCGAUGUGACAGGUGUUAAAUUUUAACAGGGUGUUUCCAAACACCCCCGAAAUUUGAAGCGCAGUCUUUCAAACUUUCUUUCCUAGUCUCUUCCUUUCUUAUUUUCUUUGUUUGGUGUGGGACUGCGUAGUCGAAUUUGUUUGUUUGCUAGAGUGUGCCAAGCAAGAUCAUCCUAUAGAUGUGAGGGAUAGUUGCUGGCUUGCUGCACAAGACCCAAUGCAAAGGUGAAGUAGGAGCAUUUAGAAGCGCCGUCUUUCAAACUUUCUUUCCUAGUCUCUUCCUUUCUUAUUUUCUUUGUUUGGUGUGGAGUCCUUUGUUUGGUGUGGAGUCUAAGUAGUCAUGUAUCUUCUGACUACGUCGUCGAAUUUGUUUGUUU